rnacentral:rRNA from 1 species
CAGCUUAAGUAGAGCCGUACCCCAAACCGACACAGGUGGUCGGGUAGAGGAUACCAAGGCGCUUGGGAGAACUCAGGUGAAGGAACUAGGCAAAAUUGUACCGUAACUUCGGGAUAAGGUACGCUGUUACCGGUGAGAGGACUAGCUCCUUAAGCUGGGAACAGCCGCAGUGAAAUGGUGGCUGGGACUGUUUAACAAAAACACAGCACUCUGCAAACCUGAAAGGGGAAGUAUAGGGUGUGACACCUGCCCGGUGCCGGAAGGUUAAAUGAUGGGGUUAGGCGCAAGCUGAAGCUCCUGAGUGAAGCCCCGGUAAACGGCGGCCGUAACUAUAACGGUCCUAAGGUAGCGAAAUUCCUUGUCGGGCAAGUUCCGACCUGCACGAAUGGUGUAACCAUGGCCACGCUGUCUCCACCUGAGACCCAGUGAAAUCGAAAUCGCUGUGAAGAUGCAGUGUACCCGCGGCUAGACGGAAAGACCCCGUGAACCUUUACUGCAGCUUGACACUGAACUUUGAACCUGUUUGUGCAGGAUAGGCGGGAGACAUAGAAGCAAGAGCGCCAGCUCAUGUGGAGUCAACCUUGAAAUACCGCCCUGACAUGUUUGAAGUUCUAACUCGAUAAAGACCUUAAAGAGGACAGUGUCUGGUGGGAAGUUUGACUGGGGCGGUCUCCUCCUAAAGGGUAACGGAGGAGCACGAAGGUCUGCUGAUUACGGUCGGACAUCGUAAGGUCAGUGCAAUGGCAUAAGCAGGCUUGACUGCGAGAGCAACAACUCGAGCAGGUGCGAAAGCAGGUCAUAGUGAUCCGGUGGUUCUGAAUGGAAAGGCCAUCGCUCAACGGAUAAAAGGUACUCUGGGGAUAACAGGCUGAUACCGCCCAAGAGUUCAUAUCGACGGCGGUGUUUGGCACCUCGAUGUCGGCUCAUCACAUCCUGGGGCUGAAGUUGGUCCCAAGGGUAUGGCUGUUCGCCAUUUAAAGUGGUACGCGAGCUGGGUUCAAAACGUCGUGAGACAGUUUGGUCCCUAUCUACCGCGGGCGUAGGAUAAUUGAGAGGGAUUGCUCCUAGUACGAGAGGACCGGAGUGAACGAACCGCUGGUUUACGGGUUGUCAUGCCAAUGGCACGGCCCGGCAGCCAAGUUCGGAACUGAUAACCGCUGAAAGCAUCUAAGCGGGAAGCAGGCCUCAAGAUGAGUUAUCCGAGUUUUAAACAUAAGGGCCGUUGAAGACUACGACGUUGAUAGGUUGGAUGUGGAAGCGCAGUGAUGUGUGAAGCUAGCCAAUACUAAUGACCCG